rnacentral:rRNA from 1 species
AAUGAACGUUGGCGGCGUGGAUUAGGCAUGCAAGUCGUACGGGUCGGUGUAGCAAUACAACGGCAAGUGGCGAAAGGGAGAGUAACGCGUAGAUACCUACCCUCUGGUCGGGGAUACCGCGGCAUAACCGCAAGUAAUACCCGAUAAUAUCUCCGGAUCAAAGGUGUGAUUCCGCCGGAGGAGGGGUCUGCGUUUCAUCAGCUUGGUGGUGAGGUAACGGCUCACCAAGGCUAAGACGAAUACGGGGUGUGAGAGCAUGCCCCCGCUCACUGGGACUGAGACACUGCCCAGACACCUACGGGUGGCUGCAGUCGAGAAUCUUCGGCAAUGGGCGCAAGCCUGACCGAGCGACGCCGCGUGCGGGAUGAAGGCCUUCGGGUUGUAAACCGCUGUCGAGGGGGAUAAAGUGCAGGUGGGUUCUCCCAUUUGUUUGAUAGAUCCCUGGAGGAAGCAUGGGCUAAGUUCGUGCCAGCAGCCGCGGUAACAC